AAUCUCGGAAUAAGGGGACCCCGAGUGCCAGUACCUAGUACUGGCUGUCCCGCUGUCUAAAUAACAGUGGUUAGCAAGGGCCGGGCAAGACCGGUGCCAGCCGCCGCGGUAACACCGGCGGCCCGAGUGGUAGCCGUUAUUAUUGGGUUUAAAGGGUCCGUAGCCGGCUUAUUAAGUCUCUUGGGAAAUCUGGCGACUUAAUCGUCAGGCGUCCAAGAGAUACUGAUAGGCUUGGGACCGGGAGAGGUGGGAGGUACUCCAGGGGUAGGGGUGAAAUCUCGUAAUCCUUGGGGGACCACCGAUGGCGAAGGCAUCCCACCAGAACGGGUCCGACGGUGAGGGACGAAAGCUGGGGGCACGAACCGGAUUAGAUACCCGGGUAGUCCCAGCUGUAAACGAUGCUCGCUAGGUGUCAGAUGCGGUGCGACCGCAUUUGGUGCCGCAGUGAAAACUUGAAGCGAGUCACCUGGGAAGUACGGUCGCAAGGCUGAAACUUAAAGGAUUGGCG
rnacentral:rRNA from 1 species